rnacentral:lncRNA from 1 species
AGAAAUUAACAAAUAUAGGUCACCAUACGGCCAUCAAUAAUGAGCAAAGCCAUAUCGCAUAGUCAGCUAAAAAAGGCACCAAAAUGACAAAUGUCAACGAAUUCAAACAAGAAAACUAACGUUCUUAUUUAUGUACAAAAAUGAACGAACAAUGAAUAUGUAACACACCAACAAACAACAACCACUGAAUUACAGGCUCCUGACUUCGGACAGGAACAUAUAUACAGAAUGUGGUGAGGUUAAACAUGCUAGGGUCUUCCCCCUAAACCUGGAACAGAGUUGUUACAGUACUACAUAACAACAAACUAUAAAAUUCAGUUGAAAAAGGCUUAUUUAACUUUAAAUAACAGAUGAAUGCAAAUAGAAAUACAUCUAAGUAACAAAAACAUAAUGGACGUUACCGUUACCCAACAAAAAAGUCACUAAAUACAGAUCUGAGAGUACUUGCAGUUACUGACAGCUAGUUCAAAGCCACUAACAACUAAUAACAAAAAUCAUGCAUCUAACUUCAAAGACUUAGUUCAUAGUUUUUUAUACUUCUGUUGAUUAUAUUUAAUCUUAGUUUUUUCCUUCUGUUAAAAAGAGAUUAAAUAACAGACGCAAUGUUCAACAUAUUUGUUUUAAGAUGGCAAAUUUGUGUUACAUUCGUUUAAUUUAUAAUAAUACACACAAACUAAAGAGACAGAAAGACAAAAGUUUGCCUCCAACGACAAGCAAGAAUAAACCAAGAAACAGAAAACAGACAAUUUUCCAAUGUCCUAUUUGGCUGGCUUUCAUAUUAUUCCCAUUGUUGUUAUAAAAUAGACAUGCAAAAUUUAUAAUAAAAAGUGAAAAAUGGUAUAGAAUAUUACAGAAUACAGAAAUGAAGAAACCACUUCAAGACCAGACCCUUUUAUAAGUUGCACAUUUUUUUUUAUUUUUUUUGCCUUUUAAAUCUUUCUGUUCGGACACCAUAUUGGUCCGACACCCCAAUAGCCUGACGCCCUAUUAGUCCGACGACCCAUUGGACCGACACACGAAUACUAGUAAUCCGACACAUAAUUAUUGAGCAAUACUUUGUAUGAAUAAUAUUUAUAUUUCAAGAGGAUAAUCCCAAUAGUUUAAAAUGAUCCUACUGAGAUUCCUCAAAAUAAUAACAUAUUAGAGUACAUGUAUUAAAAAUUUGCUUAAUGUCCAGUGGCAAAUAUUACAUGCAUGUUCAAAACAAUUGUUAAAUAAGUACAAUAGGUAAGUCCUGUAAAAGAUGUCAUCUGGGGUGAAAGGUCAAUGAAACUUGGACUGCCACUGGACAACGAAAGCAUAUUGAAGGUGGACAGGAAUUUGCCCUGCUGCAUAUUCAGACAAAAGGCCACCGACGGCCUCUCAAAGAGUUGUUGCAAUAGUUAUUAACCUGCAGAGAUCAUGGCACUCUCUUUCUAUACAUGCUAUAUGAGACAUCCGAUUAAAGGUGACCAAUCUUACAUUUGUUGAAAAUUAAACAUCCCGCACAAUUUUACUACCAAUGUUUUUACUGUUUUCACUGUAUCACAUAAACAUUAUCCGUUGUGAUGACAGACUUGAACUUCUGGUGACAUUUUCUUAGUGAGAAUGUGUUCACAUAUAUAUGGAACAAAUCUUGUCCUUAUGUCCCACGUAAGUGUCAUCAAUUACUCCUGAACCACUUUACAGAAUUUUGUAAAUCAUCGAUACAAUCUUUAUCUCAUGAUGUAUUUUUUCAAAGGACAAUUUACAAAGUGUUACGUCCAUAAUUAAUACCAUAACAAUGCAUGUUGGGAAAAACAACUUUCUAUAAAUGCAUGCAAAGUACUUGAUGCAGUAUGAUCUAUUGUUAUAGGUAUCUAAAAAUGGAUCCCACCAGAACACAAAGACUAAGUCUAUGAGGAAAAUAAAGUUUUAGAUCAACGACUAAAAAUUGUCAUGAACAGAUAAAAUAUGAGAUAGAGAUAGAACUGGUAUGAAAGGUUACAGUAGAACAUUGAAAUAAUUUGAAAGGUAGGUAUAUAUAUAUAUAUAUAUAGUUUACAACACGUCUGAACAUCAACCCAACAAUGUUAGAUCUGUAAAUUUGCGAAAGCAAAUUUUUGGUUCUUCCCUCGCCGGGAUUCGAACCCAUGCUACUAUACAUUAUGUACACAGCCAUGUAUCACCAUCAUUGAUGGCGAUCCGAUGGAUACAUCUGUUGUAGGGUUGUCACUGACUCAGACGUACUUAUAUAUAUAUAGUUUUAUACUCAAUUAUGAUUUUUUUAAAGUAAGAAUUUGCAGUUAUUCCUAUAAUUUUAUUUCAAUAUCAUGAAAUGUUGUAGUGUGUUCAUAUGACAACAAACCAACAACGAGCAAGUUCAAAAGAAUAAAGAGUAGAAAUACAAUUCUUCAACAAUUGAAAGAUAUCAUUAAAGUUAACAAAGAAGUCUACGGGAAGUACAUAUUCGUACACACAACUUCUCAUUUAACUGUUUCACAGAUUGCAUUGAUAUUGUGCUCGAAUAAUCAGAUUAUAUUAAUACAUAUGUGUUUUGGUGCCGAUCCAAAGAUGUCAGAGUGUUACAGCAGGACAUAGUUGAACUUAGGAACCUAAAGGAAAUAUAAACAAAGAUCUCAUUCUCUGUAACCGAAUAACAGAUUUAAAAGAUAGUAAUAUAUUAUAAUGAGAAUUUCCACUGGUACUAAUAAUGAAAAAAUUCACAAAAAGAAUACUUUUAUUAAUUUUUAAACUAUUGCAUAGUGUAUAAAAUAAUAAAAAGUUGUAGGAUUGUCACUGAGACAACUAUCCACCAAAUUUGAGACGAUGUGAAUGUGAACAAUAAUAUACAACUGUGCAGACUUCAACAAUGAGAAAACCCAUACCGUAUUGUCGGCUACAAAAGACCAUGACAUAAACAAUAUAUGAAACAAUUUAAUUUAGAAAAAUUAACGACCUAAUUUAUAACAAAACAAAUUAAAAGUGUUAAAAGUGCAGCCCGUAUUGAAAACAUGGAAUUUGCCAUGAACCCAGACUUGGGACGCUAAAAUUCUUCUCCAAAUCGUAUAAGAUCAGGCCCUGAAG